rnacentral:rRNA from 1 species
AUUGAACGCUGGCGGCAUGCCUUACACAUGCAAGUCGAACGGCAGCACGGGGGCAACCCUGGUGGCGAGUGGCGAACGGGUGAGUAAUACAUCGGAAUGUACCCAGUAGUGGGGGAUAACUAGUCGAAAGAUUAGCUAAUACCGCAUACGCACUAUGGUGGAAAGCGGGGGAUCGCAAGACCUCGCGCUAUUGGAGCAGCCGAUGUCCGAUUAGGUAGUUGGUGGGGUAAAGGCCUACCAAGCCUGCGAUCGGUAACUGGUCUGAGAGGACGACCAGUCACACUGGGACUGAGACACGGCCCAGACUCCUACGGGAGGCAGCAGUGGGGAAUUUUGGACAAUGGGGGAAACCCUGAUCCAGCAAUGCCGCGUGUGUGACGAAGGCCUCGGUUGUAAGACACUUUGUCGGACGAAACGGACGCGUUCUAAUACAGAGCGCUAAUGACGGUACCCGCCACGAAUAAGACACCGGCUAACUACGUAG